rnacentral:tRNA from 1 species
GCCUGACUGGCUCAGUCAGUAGAGCAUAUGGCUCUUGACCUUGGGUUCAUGAGUUCAAGCCUUAUUUUGGGCC